GACGAACGCUGGCGGCGUGCUUAACACAUGCAAGUCGAACGGAAAGGCCCUGCUUUUGUGGGGUGCUCGAGUGGCGAACGGGUGAGUAACACGUGAGUAACCUGCCCUUGACUUUGGGAUAACUUCAGGAAACUGGGGCUAAUACCGGAUAGGAGCUCCUGCUGCAUGGUGGGGGUUGGAACGUUUCGGCGGUAGGGGAUGGACGCGCGGCUUAUCAGCUUGUUGGUGGGGUAGUGGCUUACCCAGGCUUUGACGGGUAGCCGGCCUGAGAGGGUGACCGGCCACAUUGGGACUGAGAGACGGCCCAGACUCCUACGGGAGGCAGCAGUGGGGAAUAUUGCACAAUGGGCGGAAGCCUGAUGCAGCAACGCCGCGGGCGGGAUGACGGCCUUCGGGUUGUAAACCGCUUUCGCCUGUGACGAAGCGUGAGUGACGGUAAUGGGUAAAGAAGCACCGGCUAACUACGUG
rnacentral:rRNA from 1 species